UAGCUGCAACAUUAUUUGAGUAUCCUGAAAACGGGCUUUUCAGAAUGGUGUUGCCGUAUAAAAUAGUAGGAGUGCAUA
rnacentral:sRNA from 1 species